GAGUACUUAUGGACGAUAUUGUGAAUUAACCAUGUCUUGGAUCUCUUAUCAUUACCUAAGCUGUAGUAGAACUUGACCUGUUGGGGAAUGUAUACAACUAUGGAAGUAAAUGGAAAAAGAACUUGGCCGCAACCUGCAUGUACAGAAGGGCCAAACGGCUAGGUGCUGGGCAUAUUCACAACAUUGCAACGAGAUGCUAAGGCAUGUCUUGAUUUCUUUUAGAGUUAAUUUAAGUACUUUGUGUCUAACUAUGUGGCAAAAGGGCAGAUGGGGUAAAGAGACUUCAUGUUUAUGUAGUUAAAUUUUGAUGAAACAAGCAGUUCCUCAACCGAAAUGUGUUAAAAUUCCUUCAACUGAAAUUUACUAAACAAGGGACAAUGAGAAACAUGGUCCCUUGUUGAGAAGACAACCCUAACCCCUAAGUUCUAUAAAAAUAUGAUAACUUUGAAUAUUAUCUCUCUAAUCUUUCUGAGCAGACAUUUUUUUGAAGAUUUUGUGCACCUCUCUGGUGUCAGUAGAAGUGAACUGUCUUUAAAUUUUAAUGCAACCAACCAGCCCCGGGAGGCUCGCCCCUGUGCCGAGCUCCAGGAGGGUGCCACGGCGAGGUGGGCAGCGAAGUCCCAGAGCCAGGAGCCGGUGAUGUCUGGCCGCCGGGGACCUGGAUAUGGCGGGUGCCCCUCAUGCCCAUUGCCACUUCCCACCGCUCCACUGGAUCUUUUAACUCUUUGAUGGAUUCGUCUGAGGAUAGUUUUUAAUACAUGUUUUUCACCCAGUUAAAAUUAUGUUUUGCUGUUCGAAUAUUAAUUUAAUAACAUUUGAUGUUAAUCUUAA